CCCUUAGAUGUCCUGGGCCGCACGCGCGCUACACUGAUGCAUUCAACGAGUUUUACCUUGGCCGAGAGGCCUGGGCAAUCUUUUGAACCUGCAUCGUGAUAGGGAUAGAUUAUUGCAAUUAUUAAUCUUGAACGAGGAAUUCCUAGUAAACGCAGAUCAUCAAUCUGCAUUGAUUACGUCCCUGCCCUUUGUACACACCGCCCGUCGCACCUACCAAUUGAAUGGUCCGGUGAAGCCUCGGGAUUGUGGCGAGUUCCCUUUAUUGGGAGUUUGUCGCGAGAACUUGUCUAAACCUUAUCAUUUAGAGGAAGGUGAAGUCGUAACA
rnacentral:rRNA from 1 species